rnacentral:rRNA from 1 species
UGAGUGCGAGCUGCUACGGCAGCGAAGUUGGUGACGUCAAGCUUCCAAGAAAAGCCCUAUACCCGUUAAGGCAUCAUGGCCUGUACCCGAAACCGACACAGGUGGGGUGGUAGAGAAUACCGAGGGGCGCGAGGUAACUCUCUCUAAGGAACUCGGCAAAAUGGCCCCGUAACUUCGGGAGAAGGGGUGCCACCGCAAGGUGGUCGCAGUGAAGAGGCCCAGGCGACUGUUUACCAAAAACACAGGUCUCCGCUAAGUCGCAAGACGAUGUAUGGGGGCUGACGCCUGCCCAGUGCCGGAAGGUUAAGGAAGCUGGUCAGCGCAAGCGAAGCUGGCGACUGAAGCCCCGGUGAACGGCGGCCGUAACAAUAACGGUCCUAAGGUAGCGAAAUUCCUUGUCGGGUAAGUUCCGACCCGCACGAAAGGCGUAACGAUCUGGGCGCUGUCUCGGAGAGAGGCUCGGCGAAAUAGAAUUGUCUGUGAAGAUGCGGACUACGUGCACCCGGACAGAAAGACCCUAUGAAGCUUUACUGUAGCUUGGUAUUGUGCCCGGGCUCUGAAUGCGCAGGAUAGGUGGGAGGCUUUGAUCAUCGGCUUGCGGGUCGAUGUGAGCCAACGGUGAGAUACCACUCUUUCAGAGCUAGGGUUCUAACAGUCACCCGUUAUCCGGGGACUGGACAGUAUCAGGUGGGCAGUUUGACUGGGGCGGUCGCCUCCUAAAAGGUAACGGAGGCGCGCAAAGGUCUGCUCAGGCUGGUUGGAAAUCAGCCGACGAGUGUAAAAGCAGAAGCAGGCUUGACUGUGAGACCUACAAGUCGAACAGGGAGGAAACUCGGCUUUAGUGAUCCGACGGUUCUGCGUGGAAGGGCCGUCGCUCAACGGAUAAAAGUUACUCUAAGGAUAACAGGCUGAUCUCCCCCAAGAGUUCACAUCGACGGGGAGGUUUGGCACCUCGAUGUCGGCUCAUCGCAACCUGGGGCUGAAGUCGGUCCCAAGGGUUGGGCUGUUCGCCCAUUAAAGCGGUACGCGAGCUGGGUUCAGAACGUCGUGAGACAGUUCGGUCCAUAUCCGGUGCAUGCGCAGGAAUAUUGAGAGGAGUUCUCCCUAGUACGAGAGGACCGGGAGGAACGCACCUCUGGUGUACCAGUUAUCGUGCCAACGGUAAACGCUGGGUAGCCAUGUGCGGAGAGGAUAACCGCUGAAAGCAUCUAAGUGGGAAGCCCACCUCAAGAUGAGUAUUCCCAUGGCGUUAGCCAGUAAGGUCACGGGAAGAACACCCGUUGAUAGGCUCUAUGUGGAAGCGCAGUAAUGCGUGAAGCAGAGGAGUACUAAUAGACCGAGGGCUUGACC